rnacentral:rRNA from 1 species
GACGAACGCUGGCGGCGUGCCUUAUACAUGCAAGUCGAGCGGACUUUCAAGAAGCUUGCUUUUUGAAAGUUAGCGGCGGACGGGUGAGUAACACGUGGGCAACCUGCCUGCAAGACGGGGAUAACUUCGGGAAACCGGGGCUAAUACCGGAUAAUAUCUUCCUUCGCAUGAAGGAAGGUUGAAAGGCGGCGCAACCUGCAGCUUGCAGAUGGGCCCGCGGCGCAUUAGCUAGUUGGUGAGGUAACGGUUCACCAAGGCGAAGAGGCGUAGCCGACCUGAGGAGGGGGACGGCCACACUGGGACUGGGACACGGCCCCGGCUCCUACGGGAGGGAGCAGUAGGGGAUCUUCCGGAAUGGAGGAAAGUCUGACGGGGCAACGCCGCGUGGGCGAAGGAGGGCUUCGGAUCGUAAAGCUCUGUUGUCAGGGAAGAACAAGUACCGUUCGAACAGGGCGGUACCUUGACGGUACCUGACCAGAAAGCCACGGCUAACUACGUG